rnacentral:rRNA from 1 species
GUGGAUUAGAUACCCCGGUAGUCCACGCCGUAAACGAUGGGCACUAGGUGUUCGGGGUAUUGACCCCCUGAGUGCCGCAGCUAACGCAUUAAGUGCCCCGCCUGGGGACUACGGCCGCAAGGCUAAAACUCAAAGGAAUUGACGGGGGCCCGCACAAGCGGUGGAGCAUGUGGUUUAAUUCGACGCAACGCGAAGAACCUUACCUGGGCUAGACAACAUCGGACAGCCCCAGAAAUGGGGUCUCCCCGCAAGGGGCCGGUGGUUCAGGUGCUGCACGGCUGUCGACAACU